rnacentral:rRNA from 1 species
UGGGGAAUAUUGGACAAUGGGGGGAACCCUGAUCCAGCCAUGCCGCGUGUGUGAAGAAGGCCUUAUGGUUGUAAAGCACUUUAAGCGAGGAGGAGGGUACUGGUAUUAAUACUACCAGGUACUGGACGUUACUCGCAGAAUAAGCACCGGCUAACUCUGUGCCAGCAGCCGCGGUAAUACAGAGGGUGCGAGCGUUAAUCGGAUUUACUGGGCGUAAAGCGUGCGUAGGCGGCUAAUUGAGUCGGAUGUGAAAUCCCCGAGCUUAACUCGGGAAUUGCAUUCGAUACUGGUUAGCUAGAGUGUGGGAGAGGAUGGUAGAAUUCCAGGUGUAGCGGUGAAAUGCGUAGAGAUCUGGAGGAAUACCGAUGGCGAAGGCAGCCAUCUGGCCUAACACUGACGCUGAGGUACGAAAGCAUGGGGAGCAAACAGG